rnacentral:tRNA from 1 species
GGGUCGUUAGCUCAGCUGGUAGAGCAGCGGACUUUUAAUCCGUUGGUCGCGCCUUCGAAUCGCGCAUGACCUACCA